rnacentral:lncRNA from 1 species
UGGUGUGAUCUCGGCUCACUGCAACCUCUGCCUUCUGGGUUCAAGCGAUUCUCCUGCCUCAGCCUCCCGAGUAGCUUGGAUUACAAGUGUGUACCACCAUACCCAGCUAAUUUUUGUGUUUUUAGUAGAGAUAGGGUUUCACCAUGUUGGCCAGGCUGGUCUUCAACUCCUGACCUCAGGUGAUUCGCCCACCUCAGCCUCCCAAAGUGCUGCGAUUACAGGUGAGCCACCACGCCCAGCCCUUUUUCCUGUUCUUAAAACUUCUAGUAUAACUAAGAUGAUGCUAUAGAACUUGAGCAAGUUCUUUUCUUGAAGACUAUUAGCUUAAUACCAUUUAUCCCAUAGGUCCAGUGAAUUUAGGUUCAUUUAACUCUAAACUUACUAGGGCCUAUAAUAACAUACAGUCCAGGAUGUUCAACAAGAAAACUUUAAUAGCAUAAUGAUUGAGAGCAUAAGCACUGCCGUCAGACAUAUCUAGCCUGGAGUCUACCACUUUCAAACAGUGGAACCCUGGAAACUUUUUUUUUUUUUUGCAGUUGCAUGAUCAUAGCUCACUGUAACCUUGAAUUCUUGGGUUCAAGUGAUCCUCCUGCCUCAGCCUGCCAAGUAGCUAGGACUACAGGGAUGCACCACCAUGCCUGGCUUUUUUUUUUUUUUGAGAUGGGGUCUUGCUAUGUUGCCCAGGCUGGUCUUGAACUCCUGUCCUCAAGUGAUCUUCCUACCUUCCCCUCCCAAAGUACUAAGAUUACAGGUGUGAGCUACCACACCCAGCUGAGAAAAUUAUAUAACCCUUCUAGGCCUCAGUUCCCUCACUGGAGAUAAUGGAUACAGAUUUAAUUAUAAUGUGCUUAGCACAGUGCCUGGCCAUAAGAGUCACUCAGUGAAGAGUCAUCAUAAGAUUCCAGGGUCCAUAAGAAGAGUAUGUGAAGAAGGGCCUCCAGAGACAACCUACCUUAUCUCCUACAGAUGUCCAGGAUUUACCAGCUCAUGUAUAACAUGGAAUCAUACUAACAACAUUCACCAUGUUCUGUUGGCUCUUAAUGUUCCAGUUAAUACAGAAACUCUACCCCUGCCAAUUGCCCUCCCCAUGCAUUGACUUCUGCAAAUUCUCCAGUAGUGUCACAAGCAAGUCCUUAUCUUCCAGGCUUGGAAUAACACGUACACAACUAUAUAUGGUGGUCAUCUUUGAAGGACUGCAGUUAUGAAAAAACCAUCAGUUCAACUGUCCUGGACAGCAUUUCAUUUUAUUAUGUAACUGUAGAAAGCCUUGAUCAAGAUAAAAAUAGGGAUGACUUAUCAGAAACUGAAGAAUUUUCUUAGGAAAGCAAAGUUUACUGAAGGAUACCUUCAUUCCAGCCAUGAUGAGCAUCUGUCUUCUCAGGCAAUCAUGAUGAAGCUCCAGGGACAGUAUAACCCAUCUCUCCCACUCAUCCCUGAGCCUUGGUCCUGGACUGAAUGUGGUUAGAGGUUGUGGAAAUAAAAAAAAGAACCAAAAUAAGAACACUCUCCAUAAAAGCCAAGCUCAGAGACUGGUCCUCUUUUGCUUAG